GCUGGUGCCACAGGGCCUUCAGACUGGGCCACCUCUCUGUGGUGACGUGUGACAGUGACACCUCCACAUCCCAACUUCUCCAAGGUCAGAUGGUGCCUCUGGAAUCCCUGGGGUGACAGUGACACCUCCACAUCCCAACCUCUCCAAGGUGAACUGGUGCCUCUGGAGUGACAGCAAUGCCUCCCUAUCCCCACUUCUCCAAGGUCAGCUGCUGUCUCUGGAAUCUCUGGGGUGACAGUGACACCUCCAUAUCCCAACCUCUCCAAGGUGCCUCUGGAAUCUCAGGAGUGACAGUGACACCUCCACAUCCCAACNCUGGAGAAAUCCAUGGGAAUUCAGGGGAAGGGAAAGGUUUUCCACUAGAGAAAUCCAUAGGAACUAAGGGAAAGGUUUUCCCUUGGAAAAAUCCAUGGGAAUUCAGGGGAAGGGAAAGAUUUUCUCCUGGAGAAACCCAUGGGAAUUCAGGAGAAGGGAAAGGUUUUCCACUGGAGGAAUCCACCAGAAUUCAGGGGAAGGGAAAGGUUUUCCCUUGGAGAAAUCCAUGGGAAUUUAGGGAAGGUUGUCCACUGGAGAAAUCCAUGAGAAUUCAGGGGAAGGGAAAGGUUCUCCACUAGAGAAAUCCAUAGGAACUAAGGGAAAGGUUGUCCCUUGGAGAAAUCAGUGGGAAUUCAGGGAAAUGGAAAGGUUUUCCACUGGAGAAAUCCACGGGAAUUCAGGGGAAGGGAAAGGUUCUCUAUUGGAGAAAUCCAUGGGAAUUCAGGGAAAGGUUUUCUCCUGGAGAAAUCCAUGGGAAUUCAGGGAAAGGUUCUCCACUGGAGAAAUCCAUGAGAAUUCAGGGAAAGGUUUUCCACUGGAGAAAUCCACAGGAAUUCAGGGAAGGUUCUCCCUUGGAGAAAUCCAUGGGAAUUCAGGGGAAGGGAAAGCUUUUCCCAGCCAAAAAGCAGGGAAACGAGGCCAAGCUCCAGUGAGGAUGGAGGAGAUGGCAGGAGCUGGGAUGAAGCUCCAGGAUAAAUCAGGGAUGGGCACAUGGAGCAUCCCAGCCUUUCCCAGCAGGAAUGUGGCCAGGAGCAGGGGUCUGCAACACCAGAGCUACCGGGGAAUUGUGACCGUGCCAGGCUGGCACCACCCCUGGAAAACUCUGCACAUAAAUAAUAAAUUCUAAUUCAUUAAAAUACAGGUAAUUUAAAAUAUGCUUAAAAGUCCCUUAACUAUAAUUUACAUCCCAAGCCUCAUCUGGAGCGGCCAUGCUAAUUUGAAUAUCCACUGGAAUAUGCAAAUUUUGUCCUAAUUAACCCAGUGUUGUUGGUCACAAGACCAGGAAUUCCAUCCCCUUUUCCACUCCCUUUCCACCCCUCUGAAUGAAACUCCCCAGGUCCCCACUACUGGAAUUCCAUUAAAGAAUUUCCAUGAAUAUCCUGGAUAUUUAUUUUCCUACACACAUUCAGAACAGAUGGAUGCAGCCACAUUCAUGGAGAUUCCUGCCAUUUCAUUUUUACAAAAAUAAAUUCAAAUUCCUGAUCA
rnacentral:lncRNA from 1 species